AUGAAGAUACAUGCUUCAGUUCCCUCCAUGCCAUUUGUGAUUGCAGCAAUGGACCCAAUGUGCCCCAGGUGUGGUGAUGACCGUCACGAAAGGUGCGACAGGGUGGUUGAAUUGGGGCUGGGAUGCUCGAAGGCUGGCCCAAGCAACAAUUUCCUCGGGUCCAAAUGUUUGCCAGAACAAAACAUACAAUUGACAUUUUUUUCGAAAAGGGGGGCUACCCGGCCUCUGCAUCAGAGUGAUGCGUACGGCCAUCUUAUUAACCAAAUAACAAAAAGUGUCAACAAGGUUCCAAAGUCUCCAGUUGAUAGAAGGAAAAUGCAGCUCACACAGAGCUUAAGAAGGCUAGAUACACAAACUAGCCAGGAAAAGAUGCCACAACCGGCUGGCUAA
rnacentral:rRNA from 1 species